CAGUGAGGGAAUAUUGGUCAAUGGAGGCAACUCUGAACCAGCCAAGUCGCGUGAAGGAUGAAGGUCUUAUGGAUUGUAAACUUCUUUUGCAAGGGAAUAAAGUGGGGGACGUGUCCUCCUUUGCAUGUACCUUGCGAAUAAGGAUCGGCUAACUCCGUGCCAGCAGCCGCGGUAAUACGGAGGAUCCGAGCGUUAUCCGGAUUUAUUGGGUUUAAAGGGUGCGCAGGCGGGAUGUUAAGUCGGCGGUGAAAUUUUGCAGCUCAACUGUAAAAGUGCCUUCGAUACUGGCUUUCUUGAGUGUGGAUGAAGUAGGCGGAAUUUGUGGUGUAGCGGUGAAAUGCUUAGAUAUCACGAGGAACUCCGAUUGCGCAGGCAGCUUACUAAACCACUACUGACGCUCAUGCACGAAGGCGUGGGGAUCAAACAGGAUUAGAUACCCUGGUAGUCCACGCAGUAAACGAUGAUUACUAGUUGUUUGCGAUACAAUGUAAGCGACUGAGCGAAAGCGUUAAGUA
rnacentral:rRNA from 1 species